GCACCAGCCACACCCUGCUGAACUGGAGCUGGGGCCUCUCACUGCUUUGUUCUCUGCCCAGGCCUGGGAGACGCCCCCGCAGUCAGUCCGCCUGGUCAUCUGAUUUUCAACAUUUGCUCAGGUCUGUCAGGAAGCUGUAUGAAGUUGGAACGGACCAGCUUACGUGUACCAAGAAGCCUGAAAGCUUAGCCUCUGUUAACAGACGUUGUGAGAAGUCCGCUCUCCUCUGGUCAUGUUGCUUUCAUUAGGGCCAGAUAGGAAAAGGCCCCAGACUUUAAACCCGAAUUAAGGUGCGUCACGAGAGGCCAAGAGGGUUCUUUCCACUGACGCUCAGCACCUGGGAGCCUCUUCAGGGGAGCCACACCUUAGCAUGGUCACGGAAGGUCACAAGUGCCUCCUUCUUUAUGGGCACCGGUCUCCUAUAAGGCGAUGGGAUCUGGCUUCUGAAAUGACGGAAAGUGGCAAAAAGAUCAGACUUGGGAAACUGAGACGCAGAAUCUCAGGGGUGACCUCAGGAGUCUGGUGACUAACACCCAGCCCGAUUCCUGUAUGACCCACAGACAGACAGCUUGUACAUGCGAUGUUGACUCAGAUCCUAAACUUCUUCACUUGGCUCUACUGUUGGGAGAUUGCGGCGGAUGACAUCUCCCCAGAGCACCAGAAUCUUCCCGUAGCGCCUCUUUUACUUAGCUAAUUGGAAGCUUUCUGUUCGGAGGCCUUAAAGUGAGCGACCGCAGAGAGGGGGAAAAGUUUAUUUCCAUGCUGCUGCGUCUAAUGACAAGUAAUCAGUUCCGCAGGUACCUUUUUCAUUGACCUUUUUUCCACAUGGUGCUCUCAGGAAAUUCCAUUACUAUUGAUCCCCUCCAGUUUUA